rnacentral:lncRNA from 1 species
UUGUUUUGGAGUGGACGGCAGCGUGGAGAAUCGAUGGUGAGGCGGAGGUGGUUGACGAACGGAGAGUGGUUUUUUUUAGAGAGAAAUUUGGAGAAAGAGAAAGAGAGGCGUGGAAAUGUUUUCUCAAUGUGAGUGUGUAGUGAGUGAAGAGAGAAGAGAGUGGGUGAGGCCACCUUUUUAUUUAUUUCUUUUUUUUAUUUUCUUUUGUUGCCACGCGUUAGAACCAGAAUGAGAGAGUAGUAGGUGGCUGAUAUUUUUGAGUGGG